rnacentral:rRNA from 1 species
AGAGUUUGAUCCUGGCUCAGAACGAACGCUGGCGGCAGGCCUAACACAUGCAAGUCGAGCGCACCUUCGGGUGAGCGGCGGACGGGUUAGUAACGCGUGGGAAUGUACCCUUCUCUACGGAAUAGCCAUUGGAAACGAUGAGUAAUACCGUAUACGCCCUUUUGGGGAAAGAUUUAUCGGAGAAGGAUCAGCCCGCGUUAGAUUAGAUAGUUGGUGGGGUAAUGGCCUACCAAGUCUACGAUCUAUAGCUGGUUUUAGAGGAUGAUCAGCAACACUGGGACUGAGACACGGCCCAGACUCCUACGGGAGGCAGCAGUGGGGAAUCUUAGACAAUGGGCGCAAGCCUGAUCUAGCCAUGCGGCGUGAGUGAUGAAGGCCUUAGGGUCGUAAAGCUCUUUCGCCAGGGAUGAUAAUGACAGUACCUGGUAAAGAAACCCCGGCUAAUUCGGUGCCAGCAGCCGCGGUAAUACGGAGGGGGUUAGCGUUGUUCGAAAUUACUUGGGGUAAAGCGCACGUAGGCGGAUUAGAAAGUAUGGGGUGAAUUCCCAGGGCUCAACCCUGGAACUGCUUCAUAAACUCUUAGUCUAGAGUUCGAGAGAGGUGAGUGGAAUUCCAAGUGUAGAGGUGAAAUUCGUAGAUAUUUGGAGGAACACCAGUGGCGAAGGCGGCUCACUGGCUCGAUACUGACGCUGAGGUGCGAAAGUGUGGGGAGCAAACAGGAUUAGAUACCCUGGUAGUCCACACCGUAAACGAUGAAUGCCAGUCGUCGGGUAGCAUGCUAUUCGGUGACACACCUAACGGAUUAAGCAUUCCGCCUCGGGAGUACGGUCGCAAGAUUAAAACUCAAAGGAAUUGACGGGGGCCC